rnacentral:rRNA from 1 species
CCCUUAGAUGUUCUGGGCCGCACGCGCGCUACACUGAUGCAUUCGACGAGUUCCUACCUUGGCCGAGAGGCCUGGGCAAUCUUUUGAACUUGCAUCGUGAUAGGGAUAGAUUAUUGCAAUUAUUAAUCUUGAACGAGGAAUUCCUAGUAAACGCAGAUCAUCAAUCUGCAUUGAUUACGUCCCUGCCCUUUGUACACACCGCCCGUCGCACCUACCGAUUGAAUGGUCCGGUGAAGCCUCGGGAUUGUGGUUAGUUUCCUUCAUUGGAAGUUAGCCGCGAGAACUUGUCUAAACCUUAUCAUUUAGAGGAAGGUGAAGUCGUAACA